rnacentral:rRNA from 1 species
GACGAAGGAUGCAAGCGUUAUCCGGAUUCAUUGGGUUUAAAGGGAGCGUAGGUGGCCUUAUAAGUCAGUGGUGAAAUCUCUGGGCUUAACCCAGAAAUUGCCAUUGAUACUGUAGGGCUUGAGUAUAGUUGCCGUUGGCGGAAUAUGACAUGUAGUGGUGAAAUACAUAGAGAUGUCAUAGAACACCGAUUGCGAAGGCAGCUAACGAAACUAUAACUGACACUGAGGCUCGAAAGUGCGGGAUCAAACAGG